CAAGAAAUUUUCAAUUGCACAGUAUUCAGCAAUAGCAAGAAAUCUUCAAUUGCGCAGUAUUGCGCAAUAGCAAGAAAUCUUCAAUUGCACAGUAUUGUGCAACAGCAAGUAUUUUCAAUUGCAGAGUAUUGCGCAAUAGCAAGAAAUAUCUAAUUGCACAAUAUUGCACAAUAACAAGAAAUUUUCAAUUGGAGUUAUCUUUCUUUGUCCAGAAUAGUAGUUGAAUCAACUUAAAUCAUUGUUUUAUACAAUAUUACAAUGAUUAUAUCACUUUUACUACCAACUGAUAAAUUAAAACAAUCUUUACCAUUCAGUGAUAACAAGCACUUUUUUUACAUUUUAAUAUUUUAUGAUGUAUUUAAAUGAGUAGUUAUUGUUUCAAACUCCAUUAGAAAUUUGAAUUGAGAUCAGUUUUGGAAUAAGGGAAAGGGGGAUGUGAAAAAAAAAAUUAGGGGGGGGUUCAAUUUUUUCUCAUUCAGAUUUCAUAAAUAAAAAGAAAAUUUCUUUAAACAUUUUUUUGAGAGGAUUAAUAUUCAACAGCAUAGUGAAUUGCUCAAAGGCAAAACAAAAAUUUUAAGUUCAUUAGACCAAAUUCAUUCUAUGUCAGAAACCUAUGCUGUGUCAACUAUUUAAUCACAAUCCAAAUUUAAAGCUGAAUCAAGCUUGAAUGUUGUGUCCAUACUUGCCCCAACCGUUCAGGGUUCAACCUCUGUGGUCGUAUAAAGCUGCACCCUGCGGAGCAUCUGGUUACUUUGGAAAUGAUAGAAGACAUACUUUGUAGAACAUAAUUUUAUUGAUGGUGAUUUGAUUAUAACAACUUGAAUUUAUGUAUGUAAACCUACGCCAGAGUGAAUCUGUGAUACAUUUAUAUAUUAAAUUGUUAUGUUUGUUUCAUUGAUGAAUUUACAGAAAAUAAAAAAUUAUAUAUUUAACCUUAGUUUUUAAAAAAAAAAAAAUUUUUAACAAAGGGAUUCUUUUAGUUUCCACAAGAGACCAAGUGACAAGAAAUUAUCAACUAUAGGUCACAUAUGGCCUUCAAUAAUGAACAAAUCCCAUACAUAUCAGCUAUAAAAGGUCUAGAAAUGACAAAUGUAAAACAAUUGAAAUGAGAUAACUAACAAUCAAAUAUAUGUAUAAAAAUGAACGAAAAACAAGAAUGUGUCCAUAGUACACGGAUGCCCCACUUCCACUAUCAUUUUCUAUGUUCAGUGGACCAUGAAAUUGGGGUCAAAACUAUAAUUUGGCAUUAAAAUUAGAAAGAUCAUAUCAUGGGGAACAUGUGUAUUAAGUUUCAAGUUGAUUGGACUUCAGCUUCAUCAAAAACUACCUCGACCAAAAGCUUUAACCGGACGGACGGACGAACGGAGGCACAGACCAGAAAACAUAAUGCCCCUCUACUAUCGUAGGUGGGGCAUAA
rnacentral:lncRNA from 1 species